rnacentral:tRNA from 6 species
GGUGAGAUGGCCGAGUUGGUUAUGGCGCCAGGUUAAGGUCCUGGUGGAGCAAUCCUCAUGGGUUCGAAUCCCAUUCUCAUCA